rnacentral:rRNA from 15 species
CUUGUAUACAGGUGGUGCAUGGUUGUCGUCAGCUCGUGUCGUGAGAUGUUGGGUUAAGUCCCGCAACGAGCGCAACCCUCGUUCUAUGUUGCCAGCACGUGAUGGUGGGAACUCAUAGGAGACUGCCGGGGUCAACUCGGAGGAAGGUGGGGAUGACGUCAAAUCAUCAUGCCCUUUAUGUCUUGGGCUUCACGCAUGCUACAAUGGCCGGUACAAAGGGCUGCGAUCCCGUGAGGGGGAGCGAAUCCCAGAAAGCCGGUCUCAGUUCGGAUUG